rnacentral:rRNA from 1 species
UACAGGGGGUGCAAACGUUGCUCGGAAUCAUUGGGCGUAAAGCGCACGUAGGCGGUUCGUUAUGUCGGAUGUGAAAGCCCUUGGCUUAACCGAGGAAGUGCAUCCGAAACUGGCGAGCUAGAGUACUAAAGAGGAUCGCGGAAUUCCCGGUGUAGAGGUGAAAUUCGUAGAUAUUGGGAAGAGCACCGGUGGCGAAGGCGGCUCACUGGCUCGUAACUGACGCUCAUGCACGACAGCGUGGGGAUCAAACAGG